GAGGGUAUAGCUCAGUGGUAGAGCACAUGCUUAGCAUGCACAAGGUCCUGGUUCAAUCCCCAGUACUUCCA
rnacentral:tRNA from 1 species